ensembl:misc_RNA 7SK 7SK RNA
AGAUGUGAGGGCGAUCUGGCUGCGACAUCUGUCACCCCACUGAUUGCCAGGGCUGAUUCUGAUGAUCUGGUUGGCUAGGUAGGUGUCCCCUUCCUCCCUUACCAUCCCAUGUGCGUCCUGAAGCUACGUGCUUGGUGGAAGAGGAAGGCCUUCCCCAAACAGAGACUGAGGUAUACUAGUAGCUGCUCCCCUGCUAGAACCUCAAACAAGCUUUCAAGGCCCAGGGCUCUGGGUCUUCAAAGCUCACAGCAAUGAUGUUUCCGU